CCUGGCUCACGAUGAACGCUAGCUACAGGCUUAACACAUGCAAUGUCGAGGCGGCAGCGAUGGUACUUAGCGUUGCUAAGGCCGAUGGCGACCGGCGCACGGGUGAGUAACACGUAUCCAACCUGCCGUCUACUCUUGGACAGCCUUCUGAAAGGAAGAUUAAUACAAGAUGGCAUCAUGAGUCCGCAUGUUCACAUGAUUAAAGGUAUUCCGGUAGACGAUGGGGAUGCGUUCCAUUAGAUAGUAGGCGGGGUAACGGCCCACCUAGUCUUCGAUGGAUAGGGGUUCUGAGAGGAAGGUCCCCCACAUUGGAACUGAGACACGGUCCAAACUCCUACGGGAGGCAGCAGUGAGGAAUAUUGGUCAAUGGGCGAGAGCCUGAACCAGCCAAGUAGCGUGAAGGAUGACUGCCCUAUGGGUUGUAAACUUCUUUUAUAAAGGAAUAAAGUCGGGUAUGGAUACCCGUUUGCAUGUACUUUAUGAAUAAGGAUCGGCUAACUCCGUGCCAGCAGCCGCGGUAAUACGGAGGAUCCGAGCGUUAUCCGGAUUUAUUGCGUUUAAAGGGAGCGUAGAUGGAUGUUUAAGUCAGUUGUGAAACUUUGCGGCUCAACCGUAAAAAUUGCAGUUGAUACUGCAGAUCUUGAGUGCAGCUGACGCAGCCCGGAAUUCGUGGUGUAGCGGUGAAAUGCUUAGAUAUCACGAAGAACUCCGAUUGCGAAGGCAGCCUGCUAAGCUGCAACUGACAUUGAGGCUCGAAAGUGUGGGUAUCAAACAGGAUUAGAUACCCUGGUAGUCCACACGGUAAACGAUGAAUACUCGCUGUUUGCGAUAUACUGCAAGCGGCCAAGCGAAAGCGUUAAGUAUUCCACCUGGGGAGUACGCCGGCAACGGUGAAACUCAAAGGAAUUGACGGGGGCCCGCACAAGCGGAGGAACAUGUGGUUUAAUUCGAUGAUACGCGAGGAACCUUACCCGGGCUUAAAUUGCAGAUGAAUUACGGUGAAAGCCGUAAGCCGCAAGGCAUCUGUGAAGGUGCUGCAUGGUUGUCGUCAGCUCGUGCCGUGAGGUGUCGGCUUAAGUGCCAUAACGAGCGCAACCCUUGUUGUCAGUUACUAACAGGUUCCGCUGAGGACUCUGACAAGACUGCCAUCGUAAGAUGUGAGGAAGGUGGGGAUGACGUCAAAUCAGCACGGCCCUUACGUCCGGGGCUACACACGUGUUACAAUGGGGGGUACAGAGGGCCGCUACCACGCGAGUGGAUGCCAAUCCCCAAAACCUCUCUCAGUUCGGACUGGAGUCUGCAACCCGACUCCACGAAGCUGGAUUCGCUAGUAAUCGCGCAUCAGCCACGGCGCGGUGAAUACGUUCCCGGGCCUUGUACACACCGCC
rnacentral:rRNA from 1 species